rnacentral:rRNA from 1 species
UCUUUAAGGCCCCUGAAGGAACGUUUAAGACUAAGACGUUGAUAGGCUGGGUGUGUAAGUGCAGCGAUGCAUUGAGCUAACCAGUACUAAUGAUCCGUGAGGCUUAACCUUACAACACCGAAGGUGUUU